rnacentral:lncRNA from 15 species
GUUUAUUGAAACUAAACAGCAGUGUAUUUAUUUUAAAAUCAUGGUUUUGUUUCCAUUGUCGGUUACUAUAGUUUAUAUUUAUCUUCUGAUCUUUAUAUUUUUCUUGUUUUAUUGAUACAGUGUCAUUUUAAAUUGUUUUUAUAAUCAUAGUUUUUGUGUGAUCUCCAGGAAGACCAGCAGCCACUUUGUAGAAGCUAAUGUGGAUCCAAAUACAAAAUAAAGUAUUUAGAUUGUUUGAUCAUUCAUAAAAUGCUAGCCCCAUCAUUUGCCAGCAUGCUCACCAUGAGGUUUGCUGAUUCAUUCAAAGUGACAACACAGCUGUGAUAGUUCUCAUUACACUUGUUUUACCCCAAAAAUGUGCACUAAUGAACAUGAAAUGAAAGUCCAACUGUGUUGUGUUCACAAACAGAGGAAUUGGACAUGGAUGUUUCUGCUGUCCACUGUUACUGUCGGUAGCUACGCCUCCUGACCAGUAGGUGUCUCUGUGGGACUGUGUACAGAGUGGAAGAGGACUGCAGAAUGAGGGACAGAGAAGUAGAGAGGAACAGGUGGAGAAGUACAGCGGCUGCAGGUGAAACGUGGAUGCUAUCAGUGUUAGCAGUUGCUAAAUAAAGCCCUCAAAUGUUCGCUGUGUCCAGUGUUUGACUCAACAACGUAACAAACUGCUGUGUCACUGAUUUCUUCAAACUGAAGAACAGAUGGAGCAACGUCUGUGGCCUCAGUGUUACAGAAUAUGAACCAUUUGUCUUUAUAGAAACUAAAGGAAAUGGAAACAAUUAUCCAAACAUAAAAAAUGUGACUUUGGGGAACUAGACUUUUUAAGAUUGUCAUAACUCGUCUCCAAGGCCAUGGAUCAUGUAUUUAUUAAUAAGUGCACAUCUGAGGUGUGUUUAUCAGUAACAUCAGGGCUGUAGAUGUGAGUGUGUGAGCAGUAUGAGAUGUAGAAGUUAUAAAGUGGGACAAUAAUCAACUUUUACGCACGCUAAAGGACCAGACAGACACAAAGCCGUUCACCUGUGCGCACAAAGAGGAAUAAUCUGGAUCAGGAGAGCGACUAGCGAACCAGCAACCCUCCAGAAACCAUCGACAUGCUCCCAAGCAAAGCUUCAGCCACGUUCAACACUACAACACUACACAAAAACAGCUCAACGAACCCAAAGGGGAACGUUGCUACAACCUACAAGUGAAAACUCCGCACCACUUCACAAAACAAUAAAUCUCUCCAAGCAAAAUCCAGACUCACUGAGGGUCACAACAGUAAAAUGUCUGAGGCUGAUGCAAUAGUGUACUCUGAUGUUAAGUUCCCAAGACCGAAGAUAAACACCAGUGGGACCGUUUCCUCAGAGGCUGAACCCACAUACUCUGAAGUCAGGAUCUUGAAGACUCAGCCAUCCACAGAGCUCCCUGGUGGGUAAAACACUGUUUAAUAAAUGAGAAGGUGAACUGUGACCUCCAGUCAGUGGUCAUCAUGAAACAAACCUUUUUCAACAUGUUUUCGCUUGUUCCAGAAUAGAAAUUUGCUUUCUUCAUCAGACUGCUAAGGGAGUGCUCAGCCUUUGGAAACACAAGACUAUUAAAACAUAAAAAGUUCAGAACAUUAACCCUUGGAAAGAUUUUAAGGGAAAAUCUGCAUUUUGUCCUUGUCAACUGACAUCUGUACAAAUAUUUUCCAAACGUUACUGUUGUGAACAAAUAUUCAAACUAUCAGAGUUCAUUUUUACAGAGCAAACCAUGUGACCAAAAGUUUGAGGUGGUGGUCAAAAGAAAAGUGGUUCAAAUAAGGCAUGGCAACUUUUUUACGUGAUGUCUUUUUCAUUUUAUGAAUAUAUACUUUGCCCAACUGUGAACUAGAAAGAAAGAACGAAAGUAACACAGUCUACUGGGUGAAGCGAGUCAAGUACUUUACUGUAAAAUGGGUUGAAGAGAGGAUGGCAAGGUCAAGAAAAAAAGGAAGUGAACAUGAAAAGGGGCCACAUGUUUAGUGAACA